GACGAACGCUGGCGGCGUGCCUAAUACAUGCAAGUAGAACGCUGAAGGAGGAGCUUGCUUCUCUGGAUGAGUUGCGAACGGGUGAGUAACGCGUAGGUAACCUGCCUGGUAGCGGGGGAUAACUAUUGGAAACGAUAGCUAAUACCGCAUAAUAGUAGAUGUUGCAUGACAUUUGCUUAAAAGGUGCAAUUGCAUCACUACCAGAUGGACCUGCGUUGUAUUAGCUAGUUGGUGGGGUAACGGCUCACCAAGGCGACGAUACAUAGCCGACCUGAGAGGGUGAUCGGCCACACUGGGACUGAGACACGGCCCAGACUCCUACGGGAGGCAGCAGGAGGGAAUCUUCGGCAAUGGACGGAAGUCUGACCGAGCAACGCCGCGGGAGUGAAGAAGGGUUUCGGAUCGUAAAGCUCUGUUGUAAGAGAAGAACGAGUGUGAGAGUGGAAAGUUCACACUGUGACGGUAUCUUACCAGAAAGGGACGGCUAACUACGUG
rnacentral:rRNA from 1 species